AUUGAACGCUGGCGGCAUGCCUUACACAUGCAAGUCGAACGGCAGCGGACCUUCGGGUGCCGGCGAGUGGCGAACGGGUGAGUAAUGCAUCGGAACGUGCCAUUGAGUGGGGGAUAACGUAGCGAAAGUUGCGCUAAUACCGCAUAUUCUGUGAGCAGGAAAGCAGGGGACCGCAAGGCCUUGCGCUCUUUGAGCGGCCGAUGUCAGAUUAGCUAGUUGGUGAGGUAACGGCUUACCAAGGCGACGAUCUGUAGCGGGUCUGAGAGGAUGAUCCGCCACACUGGAACUGAGACACGGUCCAGACUCCUACGGGAGGCAGCAGUGGGGAAUUUUGGACAAUGGGGGCAACCCUGAUCCAGCCAUGCCGCGUGAGUGAAGAAGGCCUU
rnacentral:rRNA from 1 species